UGGAAGUGUUUUUUGUGUGUGUGUAAAGUUGAAGGUGAUAUUGAUUGAAUUUUGAUGCAAUAUCAGUUUCAUUAUUCUAAAAACAGUUAAUUUUUAUUAGGUGGGUUCAAUUUUACCUAUUCAUACUAUGUCUAAUGUCAUUAAGUCCUGAUCUAGCCUACUGCCUUCUUGGAAGCCUAAUUAUCAGUGUCAUUAAGCUAAAAACAGGGAAUUCGGUUUUUGGGGUGUUCCCCCACCACCCGGUCACUGUUUCCCCACGUUAGGGGAACACCAACAGAGGUCUGAAAAAAGUUUUUAUACGUAAUAAUGAAGAAAGUUAUUCCUUUUUAUGAGAACACGCUGUGUUACCAAUAGAAGUGAAGUGCCCCAAGUGUGAUAAGCCGUGCAUUUUAAGGUCGGAUCGACAUCAACAAGUUGCUGCCUUGCUCAUCUUCAACCUGACCUGAUAGAGAGAAAGAAAUCACCUAAGACAGAAAAGUAGUUAAAAAUAUAGGUAUUUGCUCUAUGAAAUCCAUACACCAUUGGCAAGGUGUUUAGAGUCUGAGGUGUCACCAGUUCUAAAAAAACAAAAAACUACAAGAUGCAGUAUCAAUACUUUAUUUACAUAUAUUACAAUAAAGAACUUAUUACAAAAACUAGAUCACUGGACUUUAGAAAAAGUACAACAUUUCUAUAUAAGAAAUAUAUUAACACUUUCAAAGCUCCACUCCAACUUCUUGUACAUAGCAUUAUCUUGUGCAUAUGGCAAAGUCAUUUAAAGGGUUUUGUGCAACAUUGUUAAACACCAGCAAAUUCAUUUAAUAUAGAACAAAAUGUUGGUAUGCAUUAAUAUCUUAUAGACAUACAGAUAAUAAAUCACCUACGGUAUAAACUUGACAAAAACCAAAAAACUUUAAUGGUUAACUGAAAAGUUCACGGAAUGAUUCUUUAAAAAAUAUCUUUAAAAACAAGAUUUUCAGUGCUAUAUAUUGAAACCACACACUACUGAUAAUGUAUACUUUUGCCAAAAAUAAAAUCAUUCAUAAAAGAUCUGACCAUACAAAACUGCAUUACCUGUCUGCACUAAAUUCCUAAAAGCAGCUGAUAUGAUGUUGAACUGACUUGAAUGAA